rnacentral:rRNA from 1 species
GAUGAACGCUGGCGGCGUGCCUAAUACAUGCAAGUCGAACGAGGAGUCUUUGUAGCAAUACGAGGAUAUCCUAGUGGCGAACGGGUGAGUAACGCGUUGGUGACCUGCCCCGAAGUGAGGGAUAACAGUUCGAAAGGGCUGCUAAUACCUCAUGUGGUCACGAGAGUUAGAGAUCUCGUGUCUAAAGGAGCAAUCCGCUUUGGGGAGGGGCCUGCGUCCCAUCAGCUAGUUGGUAAGGUAAUGGCUUACCAAGGCGACGACGGGUAGGGGACCUGAGAGGGGUGACCCCCCACAAUGGAACUGAAACACGGUCCAUACACCUACGGGUGGCAG